rnacentral:piRNA from 1 species
UGACUUAUGCUUGGCUUUGAUUCCUCCUG